CCUACGGGUGGCAGCAGUGGGGAAUAUUGCACAAUGGGGGGAACCCUGAUGCAGCCACGCCGCGUGGGUGAAGACGCGCCUCGGCGCGUAAAGCCCUGUCAGCAGGGAAGAAAAUGCCGGUACCUGACGAAGACGCCCCGGCUAACUACGUGCCAGCAGCCGCGGUAAUACGGAGGGGGCAAGCGUUAUCCGGAUUUACUGGGUGUAAAGGGGGCGCAGACGGCGAAGCAGGCCAGGCGGUAAAGCCCGGGGCCUAACCCCGGAACUGCCGUUGGAACUGCGUGGCUGGAGUGGAGGAGGGGUAGGCGGAAUGCGUGGUGUAGCGGUGAAAUGCGUAGAUAUCAGGAGGAACACCGGUGGCGAAGGCGGCGUGCUGGCCUGCAACUGACGUUGAGGCCCGAAAGCGUGGGGAUCAAACAGGAUUAGAUACCCGUGUAGUC
rnacentral:rRNA from 1 species